UACGUAGGGUGCAAGCGUUGUCCGGAAUUAUUGGGCGUAAAGAGCUCGUAGGCGGUUUGUCACGUCGGCUGUGAAAGCCCGGGGCUUAACCCCGGGUCUGCAUUCGAUACGGGCAGACUAGAGUGUGGUAGGGGGAGAUCGGAAUUCCUGGUGUAGCGGUGAAAUGCGCAGAUAUCAGGAGGAACACCGGUGGCGAAGGCGGGUCUCUGGGCAGUAACUGACGCUGAGGAGCGAAAGCGUGGGGAGCGAACAGG
rnacentral:rRNA from 1 species